CCUGGUGGCUGAGACGGUAAAGAAUCUGCCUGCAAUGCAGGAGACUCAGGUUCGAUUCCUGGGUCAGGA
rnacentral:tRNA from 1 species